rnacentral:rRNA from 1 species
UACGUAGGGUGCAAGCGUUAAUCGGAAUUACUGGGCGUAAAGCGUGCGCAGGCGGCUGGGCAAGUCCGAUGUGAAAGCUUCCGGCUUAACUGGAAAAUUGCAUUGGAAACUGCUCGGCUUGAAGGUGGGAGAGGGUAGCGGAAUUCCCGGUGUAGUGGUGAAAUGCGUAGAUAUCGGGAGGAACACCAGUGGCGAAGGCGGCUACCUGGCCCAUUCUUGACGCUGAGGCGCGAAAGCUAGGGGAGCAAACGGG